rnacentral:rRNA from 1 species
UGGGGAAUCUUGCACAAUGGGGGCAACCCUGAUGCAGCGACGCCGCGUGAGCGAUGAAGCCCUUCGGGGCGUAAAGCUCUUUCGACCGGAACGAUAAUGACGGUACCGGGAGAAGAAGCUGCGGCUAACUACGUGCCAGCAGCCGCGGUAAUACGUAGGCAGCAAGCGUUGUUCGGAGUUACUGGGCGUAAAGAGUGCGUAGGCGGUUUUCUAAGUUCGGUGUGAAAUCUCCCGGCUUAACUGGGAGGGUGCGCCGAAGACUGGGAAGCUGGAGUGGGGGAAAGGCAGGCGGAAUUCCUGGUGUAGCGGUAAAAUGCGUAGAUAUCAGGAGGAACACCGGCGGUGUAGACGGCUUGCUAGACCAUAACUGACGCUGAGGCACGAAAGCGUGGGUAGCAAACA